ensembl:snRNA U6 U6 spliceosomal RNA
GCACACACUUCAGCAGCACAUGUACUAAAAUUGGAAUGAUACAGAGAAGAUAUGCAUGGCUCUUGCACAAGGAAGAUGUGCAAAUUGUGAAGUGUUCCAUGAAGAG